AGAGUUUGAUCAUGGCUCAGGACGAACGCUGGCGGCGUGCUUAAUACAUGCAAGUCGAGCGAGGUUACUGUUUUGGAUCCCUUCGGGGUGAAGAAGCUUUAACCUAGCGGCGGACGGGUGAGUAACGCGUGGGUAACCUACCCCAAAGUCCGGGAUAACAGCGGGAAACCGCUGCUAAUACCGGAUGCCUUUACCUUGGGGCAUCUUGAGGUAAAGAAAGGCAACGCUUUGGGAUGGGCCCGCGUCCCAUUAGCUAGUUGGUGAGGUAACGGCUCACCAAGGCGACGAUGGGUAGCCGGCCUGAGAGGGUGGACGGCCACACUGGGACUGAGACACGGCCCAGACUCCUACGGGAGGCAGCAGUAGGGAAUAUUGCGCAAUGGACGGAAGUCUGACGCAGCGACGCCGCGUGAGCGAUGAAGGUCUUCGGAUCGUAAAGCUCUGUCCUUGGGGAAGAAGGCGAAAGCUUGACGGUACCCAAGAAGAAAGCCCCGGCUAACUACGUGCCAGCAGCCGCGGUAAUACGUAGGGGGCGAGCGUUGUCCGGAAUUACUGGGCGUAAAGGGUGCGUAGGCGGCCCUUUAAGUCGGAUGUGAAAGCCCGCGGCUUAACCGCGGAAUGGCAUUCGAAACUGGAGGGCUUGAGUGUCGGAGAGGGUAGUGGAAUUCCCAGUGUAGCGGUGAAAUGCGUAGAUAUUGGGAGGAACACCAGUGGCGAAGGCGACUACCUGGACGAUAACUGACGCUGAGGCACGAAAGCUAGGGGAGCAAACAGGAUUAGAUACCCUGGUAGUCCUAGCCGUAAACGAUGGGUACUAGGUGUGGGUGGUUUCGAUACCAUCCGUGCCGUANUUAACGCAUUAAGUACCCCGCCUGGGGAGUACGUGCGUUAGCAUGAAACUCNNUGNAUUGACGG
rnacentral:rRNA from 1 species